GGAGGAAUAUUGGUCAAUGGACGGAAGUCUGAACCAGCCAAGUAGCGUGCAGGACGACGGCCCUAUGGGUUGUAAACUGCUUUUAUGUGGGAAUAAAGUGAGGGACGUGUCCCUUUUUGUAGGUACCACAUGAAUAAGGACCGGCUAAUUCCGUGCCAGCAGCCGCGGUAAUACGGAAGGUCCGGGCGUUAUCCGGAUUUAUUGGGUUUAAAGGGAGCGUAGGCCGUCUUUUAAGCGUGUUGUGAAAUACUGUCGCUCAACGACAGAGGUGCAGCGCG
rnacentral:rRNA from 1 species